UCCCUCUGCCAUCCAGAUGGUGCAUGGAGAGGCUGGAGUGAAGAGGAGCUCCGCAGUGCCCUGCCUGCGCGGAAGCAGCCAGAGCCACUUCCAAAAGCUGCACAAAAGAGCCUCUGUCACUGCUGAUGAGAGAUCUUUUUGAAGCUUAGGAGUCGUGACUGGCAGCAUUUCAUAUCUGGCCAUCUUUAGGUUUGGAGCAACGAAGAAUGGGAAAGAAGAAAAAGAUGGCAAAGGAGAGAGCAGGGCAGAAAAAAGGCUUUCUUAUCAACAUGGAAAUUUCCAGUUUACUUUUGACCCUUUUCAGCAGAAAGUGGGCAAUUUCUCUCAGCUAAGAAGACAUAUUGUAAUUCACUAUCAAGAAACACAAAACUUUCUCAAGGCAGAUCCCACCCAGCGUCCGAUCCGGCGCCAGCCCGACUUCUGGAUAUCAGCUGAUGAGACAUCAUAAAAGCCCAGAAGCAGCAAUUAUAUCAUAUGCAAACAGUGCACAGCUUCUGGCACCGCGCAGAAGACGGGAUGUGCCAUGGGUUAACCCCCGCCAGGAACUGAGUUCAAUCACUCACCCUCUCCCACUCGGCAGGACGGGCAGGAGAAUUUAAAAAACACAAGCAAAAACUCGGGGGUUGAGUUCAACAGGCUCCCAGGUUUAUCUGUCUGAGGACGAGUCAGAAGUGAACAGCACAGCGUGGGCAGAGGAAGGCUCCUCAAAAUGAGAAGUGCAGAAAUCAUACUACGUGGAGUCUAAAAAAACACAGACUUCAAAUGUGUUGGCAGGAUUGCUAGAUCUGAAACAAAUACUACCUUUGAGCAGAAGGAGAAAGCAUCAGCUGUUCCUUUGUCAGCCACACAUAUAUGAGAUCCACACAAGGUCAGCCUGAAGAAUUCCCCUUCAUCAUUCUUCCCUUGUCUGUGCAUUCAGUUUUGUGGAAAACAUUGAAAUACUGGAGGAUCACCUUGCUGAGCUUCUCUGUAAUUUUCUUCUUCAAUGGAAGGCACCACAUACACAAAACUGACCCAUCUUCAGUGAGUGAAACACACUUGCAGAAACGUUAAACUCCUGGUUUCCUGAACGUGUUCAGACAGGUACAGUGGUGACAAUUAUCUGUGUGCUUUUAGACAUGCUCUUAUUUAGAAGGAGAGGAUUACCAAUUGGAUUGUUUUAUUUGGUGUCCACACUGCAGACCAUGGAGCAACCAAUUCCAAAGUCAGAGGAUAUUUCUGAAGGAACAGCAGUUUGUGGUCAGGCCACGUGAAAGAUUAUUUAUCUGAAGGACUGCAGCCCACAGAAAGGACCAGUGCCUGAGCAAUGAGAAAAUUGUAAAGAGUAAGAAGCAGCAGAAAGGGGAGCAGCAGAGAGGAAAUCUUCUGGACUGUCCAUAAAUUCCCAUCACCCAUCUUCCCUGUACUUCCUGGGGAGAAGAGGAGGUAUAGGAGGUAGAAAUGAAGGAGUGAAGUGAGUCUGGGGAAAAAUGGGCAAGUAGGGGGGUAAAUACUGAUUUAUUUUUUGUUUUUGCUUUUCAUCAUAUAAAUACAUU